GUGCUCACUUUGGCAGCACAUAUGCUCAUACAGAGAAGAUUAGCAUGGUCCCUUUGCAAGGACGACCUGAAAAUUCUAGAAGCAUUUCAUAUUUUU
rnacentral:snRNA from 1 species